CACGUAGUUAGCCGGGGCUUUCUGGUAAAGUACCGUCAGCCUAGCAUCAUCUCCUAUACUAGGUGUUCUUCCUUUACAACAGAGUUUUACAACCCAUAGGGCCUUCAUCACUCACGCGGCAUUGCUCGUUCAGGGUUUCCCCCAUUGACGAAUAUUCCUAACUGCUGUCUCCCGUAGGAGUCUGGGCCGUGUCUCAGUCCCAGUGUGUCCGAUCAGCCUCUCAGCUCGGAUAUGCAUCGUUGCCUUGGUAAGCCAUUACCCCACCAACUAGCUAAUACAACGCAAGCCCAUCUUAAAGUGAAGCAAAUGCUCCUUUUAACAUAUCUAGUUAUCUAGUUAUGUAUCAUCCGGUAUUAGCGACCUAUUUCUAAUUCGUUAUCCCAGUCUCGUAAGGUAGGUUACCCACGCGUUACUCCACCCGUCUGCCACUAAGUGGCAACCCAAAUCCUAAUUUUGUGCAAGCACUCCUAUUUUCAUUCGGACCUACCUUCGUUCGUACUUGCUAUGUUCUUAGGCUACG
rnacentral:rRNA from 1 species